AAACUUUUCACCAUUCCCAAGGUGAGAAGUAUGAAUACGUCAUUCGCAACCAUCAUAAACACAUUCUACAGUAACUCGAUCACGAUCGUUCUUCACGAAGACAAAAUCCCUGCAAUUUGCAAUGCAAUAGUUGCGAAUGGUGUCACGUAGAGUUUCCACAUUCAUGAACUCCUGACCAACACCCUCUAUACUAUUUUUCCAAUCAUCCAACGAAUUUUUUUGACUUGCUUCCUCUUUAAUUGCGGCUCUUGUUUCUUCAACAAAUUCACCAAAAUUACUUGAGCUACCCUUCGAAAAUUUUUUUCCUCUCGAACUAAUUUCAGGACAAUGGGAUGAGCCACUGUUCAUACAAUAUGAUAAACAUUAUUUUAGCAAACUUACUAAAAUCCGUUGCACAAACCAAAAUUUUAAAAACGGAAUACCUCUCAAUUACCACAGCAGCACCUUCGAUCAAGGUUGGAGAAUGAGUAACAACCAUCUCGAUCACCUUGGCAUUUAAGUUGACGUGUAUUUGUUGCAUGUUACGAACAUCCUUAUCGCUCAUGAGCGUAACAAGUAUUUUAGACUUGUUUGGAAUAUAAAACUUAACUUCUAUCAUUGUAGAAGAUAAAUGUCUCCACCU
rnacentral:lncRNA from 1 species